CCNGCCCUUGUACACACCGCCCGUGGUACUUACCGAUUGAUGGGUCGGUGAGGCCUUCGGACUGGCCCAGGAGGGGUGGCAACGACCCCCCAGGGCCGAAAAGUUGGUCAAACCCCGGUCAUUUAGAGGAAGUAAAAGUCGUAACAAGGUUUCCGUAGGUGNACCUGCGGAAGGAUCAUUACCGAGUGUAGGGUUCCUAGCGAGCCCAACCUCCCACCCGUGUUUACUGUACCUUAGUUGCUUCGGCGGGCCCGCCAUUCAUGGCCGCCGGGGGCUCUCAGCCCCGGGCCCGCGCCCGCCGGAGACACCACGAACUCUGUCUGAUCUAGUGAAGUCUGAGUUGAUUGUAUCGCAAUCAGUUAAAACUUUCAACAAUGGAUCUCUUGGUUCCGGCAUCGAUGAAGAACGCAGCGAAAUGCGAUAACUAGUGUGAAUUGCAGAAUUCCGUGAAUCAUCGAGUCUUUGAACGCACAUUGCGCCCCCUGGUAUUCCGGGGGGCAUGCCUGUCCGAGCGUCAUUGCUGCCCAUCAAGCACGGCUUGUGUGUUGGGUCGUCGUCCCCUCUCCGGGGGGGACGGGCCCCAAAGGCAGCGGCGGCACCGCGUCCGAUCCUCGAGCGUAUGGGGCUUUGUCACCCGCUCUGUAGGCCCGGCCGGCGCUUGCCGAACGCAAAUCAAUCUUUUUCCAGGUUGACCUCGGAUCAGGUAG
rnacentral:rRNA from 1 species